AAUGAACGCUGGCGGCAUGCCUUACACAUGCAAGUCGAACGGCAGCAUGACCUAGCUUGCUAGGUUGAUGGCGAGUGGCGAACGGGUGAGUAAUGCAUCGGAACGUGCCUUUUAGUGGGGGAUAACGUAGCGAAAGUUACGCUAAUACCGCAUAUUCUCUGAGGAGGAAAGCAGGGGACCUUCGGGCCUUGCGCUAGAAGAGCGGCCGAUGUCGGAUUAGCUAGUUGGUGAGGUAAAGGCUCACCAAGGCAACGAUCCGUAGCGGGUCUGAGAGGAUGAUCCGCCACACUGGGACUGAGACACGGCCCAGACUCCUACGGGAGGCAGCAGUGGGGAAUUUUGGACAAUGGGCGCAAGCCUGAUCCAGCCGUGCCGCGUGAGUGAAGAAGGCCUUCGGGUUGUAAAGCUCUUUCGGCUGGGAAGAAAUCGCACCCUCUAAUACAGGGUGUGGAUGACGGUACCAGCAGAAGAAGCACCGGCUAACUACGUG
rnacentral:rRNA from 1 species